ACAGUGAACGCGAGCAUCUGUGGCCAAGUUUUUAAGGGCGCACGGUGGAUGCCUUGGCACCAGGAACCGAUGAAGGACGUGGGAGGCCACGAUAGUCCCCGGGGAGUCGUCAACCAGGCUUUGAUCCGGGGGUUUCCGAAUGGGGAAACCCGGCAGUCGUCAUGGGCUGUCACCCGCUGCUGAACACAUAGGCAGUGUGGAGGGAACGCGGGGAAGUGAAACAUCUCAGUACCCGCAGGAAGAGAAAACAACCGUGAUUCCGGGAGUAGUGGCGAGCGAAACCGGAUGAGGCUAAACCUAUGGCGUGUGAGACCCGGCAGGGGUUGCGUUGUGGGGGUUGUGGGAUCUCUCUUCUGUCGUCUGCCGGCGACAGGACGAGUCAGAAACCGUUGAUGUAGACGAAGGACAUGCGAAAGGUCCGGCGUAGAGGGUAAGACCCCCGUAGUCGAAACGUCAGCGGCUCGUUGGAGAGACACCCAAGUAGCACGGGGCCCGAGAAAUCCCGUGUGAAUCUGGCGGGACCACCCGCUAAGCCUAAAUAUUCCCUGGUGACCGAUAGCGGAUAGUACCGUGAGGGAAUGGUGAAAAGUACCCCGGGAGGGGAGUGAAAUAGUACCUGAAACCGUGUGCCUACAAGCCGUGGGAGCGUCGGAAUGUGCUUGCACAUUCUCGUGACUGCGUGCCUUUUGAAGAAUGAGCCUGCGAGUUUGCGGUGUGUUGCGAGGUUAACCCGGGUGGGGUAGCCGUAGCGAAAGCGAGUCCGAACAGGGCGUUUGAGUAGCAUGCCCAAGACCCGAAGCGGAGUGAUCUAGCCAUGGGCAGGUUGAAGCGGAGGUAAGACUUCGUGGAGGACCGAACCCACCAGGGUUGAAAACCUGGGGGAUGACCUGUGGUUAGGGGUGAAAGGCCAAUCAAACUCCGUGAUAGCUGGUUCUCCCCGAAAUGCAUUUAGGUGCAGCGUCGUGUGUUUCUUGCCGGAGGUAGAGCACUGGAUAGGCGAUGGGCCCUACCGGGUUACUGACCUUAGCCAAACUCCGAAUGCCGGUAAGUGAGAGCGCGGCAGUGAGACUGUGGGGGAUAAGCUCCAUGGUCGAGAGGGAAACAGCCCAGAGCAUCGACUAAGGCCCCUAAGCGUACGCUAAGUGGGAAAGGAUGUGGAGUCGCACAGACAACCAGGAGGUUGGCUUAGAAGCAGCCACCCUUGAAAGAGUGCGUAAUAGCUCACUGGUCUAGUGAUUCCGCGCCGACAAUGUAGCGGGGCUCAAGCGUACCGCCGAAGUCGUGUCAUUGCAGCAUAAGGGCCAACGCCUGCUGUGAUGGGUAGGGGAGCGUCGUCUGCCGGGUGAAGCAGCACCGGAAGGUAGUUGUGGACGGUUGACGAGUGAGAAUGCAGGCAUGAGUAGCGAUUCACACGUGGGAAACGUGUGCGCCGAUUGACUAAGGGUUCCUGGGUCAAGCUGAUCUGCCCAGGGUAAGUCGGGACCUAAGGCGAGGCCGACAGGCGUAGUCGAUGGAUAACCGGUUGAUAUUCCGGUACCCGCUGUGGAGCGUCAAACAUUGAAUCCAGUGAUGCUAAGGCCGUGAAGCCGUUCCGGACCCUUCGGGGAAAGGAAAGUGGUGGAGCCGCUGAACCAGGUUGGUAGUAGGUGAGUGAUGGGGUGACGCAGGAAGGUAGUCCAUCCCGGGCGGUGGUUGUCCCGGGGUAAGGGUGUAG
rnacentral:rRNA from 1 species